GACGAACGCUGGCGGCGUGCUUAACACAUGCAAGUCGAACGGAAAGGCUCCAGCUUGCUGGCGUACUCCAGUGGCGAACGGGUGAGUAACACGUGGGUAAUCUGCCCUGCACUCUGGGAUAAGCCUGGGAAACUGGGUCUAAUACUGGAUAUGACCUUUCUCCUUAUGGGGUUUGGUGGAAAGUUUUUCGGUGUAGGAUGAGCCCGCGGCCUAUCAGCUUGUUGGUGGGGUGAUGGCCUACCAAGGCGACGACGGGUAGCCGGCCUGAGAGGGUGAUCGGCCACAUUGGGACUGAGAUACGGCCCAGACUCCUACGGGAGGCAGCAGUGGGGAAUAUUGCACAAUGGGCGGAAGCCUGAUGCAGCGACGCCGCGUGAGGGAUGACGGCCUUCGGGUUGUAAACCUCUUUCAGCAGGGACGAAGCGUAAGUGACGGUACCUGCAGAAGAAGCACCGGCUAACUAUGUG
rnacentral:rRNA from 1 species